UACGUAGGCAGCAAGCGUUUGUUCGGAGUUACUGGGCGUAAAGGGUGCGUAGGCGGGCAGGUAAGUCCGUGGUGAAAUCUCUGAGCUUAACUCAGAAACUGCCAUGGAUACUAUUUGUCUUGAAUGUUGUGGAGGUAAGCGGAAUAUGUCAUGUAGCGGUGAAAUGCUUAGAUAUGACAUAGAACACCAAUUGCGAAGGCAGCUUACUACACAAAUAUUGACGCUGAGGCACGAAAGCGUGGGGAUCAAACAGG
rnacentral:rRNA from 1 species